AAAAGAAGAAAAGAAAAUACGAGAUAAGAUAAAAAGCAAAAACGAGCCAAGUGUCGCGAUAAAUUAAUUAAUCACGCGCCGGAACUUUAGUCGAUCGGAGAGAAAAUCGGAGGGAAUUCUCCACGGCAAAGGAAAAUUGAACGAGAGAAAUAGCAGCGGCUACCGUUCUUGGAAAGAAUAACCGCGGAAAUGAAGUGUCAAUGACGCACGGCCCACGCUCUGUUGCUGUUCUCCUUCGAAACCUUCCGGUCGAAUGAUUGGAAAGGGGGAGAAAAGAAACAAACGUCUGACGACUCGUUGUUGGCUCUUUUACUUCGUUUUAAGUACUUACUCGCGUCCACUCGAUUGACAUGGCUCUUUCAACAAUAGUCAAAAUUUGACUAAUUUAUAGUUUCUGUCGACGUACCUUACAGACGUGAAACAGUGUACUCUGAGAGAUUUAAAUGAUUGUAAAAGCUUGUGUACUUCAUUGUAAUAUAAAAUUUUCUGUUUUGUCCUUUUUUUUUUACUUUAACAUCUCUGAAGGAAAUUUUGUGUUUUAAUCGCCUGGUGUAAAAGCGAGGUUGUGUCCAGGAAUUGACGAGCUACCAUCUGUCCAGUGUUCAAUUAUUUUGUGAUUUUGAGGAUUUACCAGAAGAUGAAUAGUGUGAUGUUGCAAUAAAUUUAGAGAUGCCAGAAGGAAUCAAUUUCAGUGUAUGGCCAUGAAUCAUAGAAGAAACAAAUAACGACGCAAAGCACGUUCUAAGACAGAGCCGGCUAACUGGCCCUCUCCACAUGCUUGGUAGGAAAGUCAACAGGCUGAGAGAGUGGGGGCUCAUGCACGGCAAGGAAAUUUCAAUGCAGUGGGGGGUAGCACUAGCGGUCAGAAGAAUAAGGGCCCACCAAUUGGCCAUCUCUGUUCUAAGAUUUCAAAACAAAUGUCUAACAAUUCCAUUUGGCAGACUUGAAAAGUGCCAGACCUGCUGGAUUGCUAUUGAAAAAAUAACUAAAGCGUUAAGAGAUAGAAUAUGAACAUCAAAAUUAUUUCGAGGCACGUCUUAAAAUAGCGGUGCAAAGUCACAUUUUUUUCGGCUGACAACCACUGGCAAGAAGAAGUCACGUGACAAUGUGUUAUUUGGGAUAUUGAGUUGCAUCGUUCACGUUGCAGAUCGAAGGAACGUCCCUCCCUGACUUUCGAAAUUCCAGCACGCUUUCAAUCUGACACAAAACUCGUUCUCGCUGUGUUUUCUUUUCUUUCUUCUUUGAUCGACGACGCGUUCGUUGACGCAAAUAUCAACUCAACAAUUUCUCGGACCGUGAUUCAGGCGUUUGCAAUGUUCUCUAUCGAAAUGUAACACGCGUGCACGUGUAUUUUUUUCACGGCCGACGAUCGUCUCCCUCCGCAAAUAAUUCGACGAUGACGACGACGCGGUGAAUCGAUUUAACGAUGAUUAAAGCCACUUCGAUGGCGCGUUUUUAUUAGCUGGCACAUAAAAGUUAUUGAAGCUGUCGACUGACGGUCACGUUACGGAAAUUCCUCUCCGGGGUUGAUCACGCAUCUUUCUCGACAAAAAGGAAUUACGAGAAUUAGAAUCGCGAAAAAUUUCGUUCGUAGCCAAUUUCGUGCAGCAUUUCUUCGUCUUAGAUCAGUGGUUCCCAAUCUUUUUUUGACCAUGCACCACCUAAGCAUCUCUGAAAUCCCGACGUUCCGAAUUCUUAUUCAAAAAGUGAAUUUCCUAUAUGGAAAAAGUCUAAAAGACCAUUAACAAACUUUCAAAGAACAUGACAUCCGUGAAAGAAAAAAAUAAAAAAACGAAGGGAAGUAGCUUGAACAUGUCACUGAGAAAUUGUU